ACCUGUAAAUUACAAGAUCGCAGAUCACUUUCAGAUAAAAAUUAAACACAAUUCAGUUUAUUCAGAUGUUUCAAUGGACAAAGAAGUGCAUGACAAUCAGAAUGCAUGAGGAACAAUGAACAGGCUGUGUGCAGAAGUUGAAUGCAACUUGUCAGUAACUUCACACUUAACUAGUGUAAACAUGUUUAAUGGCACAACAUAGGCAACAUGUUCAUGGGCCAAGUAUGUGAUAUCAGCGCUAAAAAUUAAGAAACUAUAGAACUAACAGCGGCAGUGACAUAGGUCCCUUCACCAGAAAGCACUGAGGAUAUAUACAUCAAUCGUCAAAUCAAUCAGACAAUUAGAUGCCCCUAAAUCAAACCCACAAACACAUCUCAAUGGAAUGUACAUUUUGCAGAGAUGCAAAAAAAUAAAAGAUUCACAGAGAGCCAAGUUUAAUCACUCUAAGCAUCUGGAACUACAAUGUAGAAUCAUCAAACAUUAAACAGUUGUUGACAAUAUCCACAUGCAAAUUCGCUUCAUGGUUUUGGAAAGUACGACCCAACUCCCACCAGUGGAACCUCUUGGUUCCAGAAACUCAACAUCUGAACCUUAGAUGUAAACUUUAAUGAAGAUUCAUGCACUUUCUGUGCGCAGAACCAGAGGUUUUCCAUCAUAUGUAGAGCCAUCUAGAUUCCCUAAAGUACUAGCAAUACAGAUUCUAAAUCCACUAGAUCUACCUAGAAAAACCAAUCGUUCUAAAGUCUCCACAAUCAUGAAGAGCAUUAGCACUCAAAGAACAGGUAAACUCUCAAAAUCUUGUGAAUUUCUCAUUCAAAAUUAAGCAACUUCACCGAUUCCGUGGCAGUGAAGCAGGAAACACAGUCGUCAAAUAAAAUUAAAAAGCCAAAGUCUUACAUUUAUCAAAAAAACAAAGUUGGAAUUCUUGAGCCCAAUUAUGCCAAUAAGGAAAAGAAAAAACAAUCAAA